rnacentral:rRNA from 1 species
UACAGAGGGUGCAAGCGUUAAUCGGAAUUACUGGGCGUAAAGCGUGCGUAGUCGGUUAUUUAAGUCGGGCGUGAAAGCCCCGGGCUCAACCUGGGAAUUGCGUUCGAUACUGGAUAGCUAGAGUUCGGCAGAGGGAAGCGGAAUUUCUGGUGUAGCGGUGAAAUGCGUAGAUAUCAGGAGGAACACCGGUGGCGAAGGCGGGUCUCUGGGCCGAUACUGACGCUGAGGAGCGAAAGCGUGGGGAGCGAACAGG